rnacentral:rRNA from 1 species
GAUGAACGCUGGCGGCGUGCCUAAUACAUGCAAGUAGAACGCAGUUGCGAACGGGUGAGUAACGCGUAGGUAACUGCCCCAUAGCGGGGGAUAACUAUUGGAAACGAUAGCUAAUACCGCAUACAGUGAGAUGGACCUGCGUUGUAUUAGCUAGUUGGUGAGGUAACGUCUCACCAAGGCCACGAAGCAUAGCCGAUCUGAGAGGGUGAUCGGCCACACGGGAACGGAGACACGGCCCAGACUCCUACGGGAGGCAGCGGUAGGGAAUCUUCGGCAAUGGAAGAAAGUCUGACCGAGCCACGCCGCGUGAGUGAAGAAGGUUUUCGGAUCGUAAAUCUCUGUUAUUAGAGAAGCGGUAUCUAACCAGAAAGCCACGGCUAACUACGUGCCAGCCGCCGCGGUAAUUC